UUGCACGCUGGCGGCAGGCCUAACCCAUGCAAGUCGCACGGUAACAGGAAGAAGCUUGCUUCUUUGCUGACGAGUGGCGGACGGGUGAGUAAUGUCUGGGAAACUGCCUGAUGGAGGGGGAUAACUACUGGAAACGGUAGCUAAUACCGCAUAACGUCGCAAGACCAAAGAGGGGGACCUUCGGGCCUCUUGCCAUCGGAUGUGCCCAGAUGGGAUUAGCUAGUAGGUGGGGUAACGGCUCACCUAGGCGACGAUCCCUAGCUGGUCUGAGAGGAUGACCAGCCACACUGGAACUGAGACACGGUCCAGACUCCUACGGGAGGCAGCAGUGGGGAAUAUUGCACAAUGGGCGAAAGCCUGAUGCAGCCAUGCCGCGUGUAUGAAGAAGGCCUUCGGGUUGUAAAGUACUUUCAGCGGGGAGGAAGGGAGUAACGUUAAUACCUUUGCUCAUUGACGUUACCCGCAGAAGAAGCACCGGCUAACUCCGUG
rnacentral:rRNA from 1 species